ensembl:lncRNA
GCACAAGCCGCGCCGGGGGGUAGAAGAUGAGGAGGCUGCGAGGGACCCCGAGUCAGACCUUCGGGGCCACAAGAAAGUGUCCGAGCGCCUCGCAGACUGCAGCAAGGGAAACGUCCCUUAAAAGUGCGACGAGGUGGGGACGAGGUGCAAUUAUUAUUAUCAGCAUCUAGAAAGCAUCAUGCAGGCAGUGACCUCCAUACUGCAUUGUUCUUACUGGAUCUUCCUAUCAAUGAACAUUAUGGAACUACCAAAACAGCAUCAAGUCCUUCUUGGAUGGAAAGUUUUCAAACUUCUUCAUUUGGAGUUACUUAAACAUUAGGAUGUUGGGAUUCUUGAUGAUGCCUUUCCUAUGUGGAUUACUACAAUUUGGUUACUGGGAAUUCUCUACCUCAAAGAAGUACUCUCAGGUGACUACGGAAGCAUUAGCAUCCUGCAUGCUCAGGAUCUGCAUUUGCUGCUCCAGCAGUGUCUAACUGGAUGUCCUCUGCAGAUUGAACAAAUGUGCCGUCUUUUCCAUCAUCUGGUCAACCCCCAGGUCACCACUGAACAUCCUACUCAACCACUUCGAUCCAUGGAUAUCAUUCUCUGUUGUCCAUUCCAUCAAAUGUCCUCAAACCUGGCAGAAAAGGGAAAAGGCUAAUGGCUAGGAACUGAGUGAAGAGAUGGGACGUUGGGCAGAAGGUAGAACAUUCUCAGUCAAAAGAGCAGCCUGUGUGGAGUAUCUGAAGUGAGAAGAACAUGACGAGAAGGCAGAGAUAGCCACAGGAAGAUAAGGAGAGCAAACUGGAGAAGUAGCAGAGCCUGCAGCUGUUCCUGGUUUCUGUGACAUUCUUUGAGGAGUAUCCUUUCACGUCUGGCUCUACCGCAAUGUACAUGAAUAUAUUUGUUUUGCCUCUCUCCCAUCCUGAGUACAGAAGAAGUUCACACUGGCAGUGUACCCUUUUCUCACUUGUGUGGUCAACUACUCCCUCUCAACAGGUUCCUUCCUAUUGACUUUAAAGCUUACGGCGUUCUCAUUUUACAUACAAACAACCCACCCUUCCUCGUGUCCAAAUCCUCCCACAGGUAUUGCUGUCUUUCUUCCUCUUUAUGGCCAGAUUUGUGGAAAUCAUAGCUCUGUCUUCAUGUCCUUCCAUUGCCUCUCUAGCGUAGCUCUUUCUUCAUCCUUUCAUCAAAACAGCUUUUCCUAAGUUUACAAUGACCUUCUCUUGUCAAUCCCAUGGUCGUCUUCUGCUUGGUCAACUUUUUUUUUUUUAAAGAUUUAUUCAUUUUAGAGAAGGUGCGAGUAUGGGGGGGUGGACAGGAGGAGACACAAGGGGAGAAAGAAUCUCCAGCAGACUCCCCACUGAGCAUAGAGCCCAACUUGGGGCUCGAUCUCAUGACCCUGAGAUCGUGACCUAAGCCAAAACUAAGAGUCGGCCCCUUAACUGACUGCACCACCCAGGCACCCCUUAGUCGGCUUUGAAGAGCAUUUUAAGAAGUCCUCAUUUUGCACACUAACUCCUCUUAGCUUCUAGGGUACUUCGUGUCCUCUGUUUCUUCAUAUUAACAUUUUCAGAUUCCUCUGCCAUUAAUCAGUUUUUAAGUAAUUUUACCCUAAAAAUCUCUCUUCUGUUCUACUCCCUACUGUCUCCAACAUUAGUCUCAUCCCCUUCCUUGGCUUAUUAUGAGAGGUAGCUUAUGACAGGAGGCAAGAGUACCUGGGGUUGUUUUCCAGUCGUGUGAUUUAAGCAAAUGGCUUUAACUGUCUAAUGGUUUCAUGAUAUGUUAAAUAAGGAUCAUUAUAAUAUCUGCCUCAUGUAGUUGUUGUAAAGAUAAAUGAGUUCAUUUAUAUAAAGUGCUUAAUAGUAGAUGCCCCUCGAAUGUGUAGCUACAGUUAUAAUAUGUGAAUAAAAGCAAAAUUUAUGUACUCUAGAUACUUAUG